GCAAGUCGAACGGUAACAGGAAGAAGCUUGCUUCUUUGCUGACGAGUGGCGGACGGGUGAGUAAUGUCUGGGAAACUGCCUGAUGGAGGGGGAUAACUACUGGAAACGGUAGCUAAUACCGCAUAACGUCGCAAGACCAAAGAGGGGGACCUUCGGGCCUCUUGCCAUCGGAUGUGCCCAGAUGGGAUUAGCUAGUAGGUGGGGUAACGGCUCACCUAGGCGACGAUCCCUAGCUGGUCUGAGAGGAUGACCAGCCACACUGGAACUGAGACACGGUCCAGACUCCUACGGGAGGCAGCAGUGGGGAAUAUUGCACAAUGGGCGCAAGCCUGAUGCAGCCAUGCCGCGUGUAUGAAGAAGGCCUUCGGGUUGUAAAGUACUUUCAGCGGGGAGGAAGGGAGUAAAGUUAAUACCUUUGCUCAUUGACGUUACCCGCAGAAGAAGCACCGGCUAACUCCGUGCCAGCAGCCGCGGUAAUACGGAGGGUGCAAGCGUUAAUCGGAAUUACUGGGCGUAAAGCGCACGCAGGCGGUUUGUUAAGUCAGAUGUGAAAUCCCCGGGCUCAACCUGGGAACUGCAUCUGAUACUGGCAAGCUUGAGUCUCGUAGAGGGGGGUAGAAUUCCAGGUGUAGCGGUGAAAUGCGUAGAGAUCUGGAGGAAUACCGGUGGCGAAGGCGGC
rnacentral:rRNA from 1 species